ACGCUGGCGGCAGGCCUAACACAUGCAAGUCGAGCGGUAGAGAGAAGCUUGCUUCUCUUGAGAGCGGCGGACGGGUGAGUAAUGCCUAGGAAUCUGCCUGGUAGUGGGGGAUAACGUUCGGAAACGGACGCUAAUACCGCAUACGUCCUACGGGAGAAAGCAGGGGACCUUCGGGCCUUGCGCUAUCAGAUGAGCCUAGGUCGGAUUAGCUAGUUGGUGGGGUAAUGGCUCACCAAGGCGACGAUCCGUAACUGGUCUGAGAGGAUGAUCAGUCACACUGGAACUGAGACACGGUCCAGACUCCUACGGGAGGCAGCAGUGGGGAAUAUUGGACAAUGGGCGAAAGCCUGAUCCAGCCAUGCCGCGUGUGUGAAGAAGGUCUUCGGAUUGUAAAGCACUUUAAGUUGGGAGGAAGGGUUGUAGAUUAAUACUCUGCAAUUUUGACGUUACCGACAGAAUAAGCACCGGCUAACUCUGUGCCAGCAGCCGCGGUAAUACAGAGGGUGCAAGCGUUAAUCGGAAUUACUGGGCGUAAAGCGCGCGUAGGUGGUUUGUUAAGUUGGAUGUAAAAUCCCCGGGCUCAACCUGGGAACUGCAUUCAAACUGACUGACUAGAGUAUGGUAGAGGGGUGGUGGAAUUUCCUGUGUAGCGGUGAAA
rnacentral:rRNA from 1 species